rnacentral:SRP_RNA from 1 species
GCCGGGCGUGGUGGCGUGUGCCUGUAGUCCCAGCUACUUGGGAGACUGAGGUGGGAGGAUCGCUUGAGCCCAGGAGUUCUGGGCUGCAGUGCACUAUGCCGAUUGGGUGUCUGCACUAAGUUGGGCAUCAAUAUGGUGACCUCCCAGGAGCGGGGUACCACCAGGCUGCCUAAGGAGGGGUGAACCGGCCCAGGUCAGAAACAGAGCAGGUCAAAACUCCCAUGCUGAUCAGUAGUGGGAUCGUGCCUGUGAAUAGCCACUGCACUCCAGCCUGGGCAACAUAGCGAGACCCCAUCUCU